AUGGUACGCCUUUGGCGUACCCUCGAAAAAAAAUACAUGACUGAUGGAAUAAAACCAGUGCUAGAGGAGAAGUUUCCUAGCCAUGUUGCUGUUUUGGCUGCAAGGACCCCUGAGCUUGCGUGUUCUUCUACGAUGGCUGGGAAACAAACAGUGCCCUUGUCAAACAAGAACUCGCCGAAUACUAUUGCUGACUUGCCUGGAAGGAACCACCAACCCGCCACCUCAGAUAUGACCGUUGGAAAAAAAAUAGUGCCAGAGAACAAGUUGCACGGCACUGAACAGAUGAUGCCUGUAGGGACUGAUGUAAGACAUGUAGGACCGGUAGCAAAGUUACUGAAGACUAACCUGAGUUUGCCUCCAACACACUUCCAAGGUGAUGCAAACAAGGAGAACUGGCCACCGAGAAUAGUUGAAGAGCCAGCCAACGAAUUUAAGAGUAGAAAGGUGUCCGGGAUGUGCGACGACUACUGCCCAGCUCCAUGUUUUGGAGUGAUUUUCGAUGAAUUGGAACCUGUCCUUGAGGAAGGAGAUAAGGACAUCAACAAAUGGGAUGAAGUUCUUAACAUGCAAACAGAGAAUAUCACAACAGCGAGCAUAAGAGAAGUAAUAAACCUUGAUGAUGAUGUGUGGGAUGCAGAGGAACUAGAGGCAGCGUGUGCUGAAGCAGAACGAAGGGGGAAAGAAUUAGUUAAUUGUGCUAUGUUCAGUACACCAGAGAAAAUCAUCAAUGAAAUAGAUGUGGGGUCAGGUGGUAAGUUUUCUAGCAGUAGUAGUUUAGGGGAGGUGAUUACCAACAAAUUUGAGAGGAGGCUCAUCAAGCCAUCAGCAUCUUUGAGAUCACCUUUCAUAGGCAUUGACAACAAAAAGGAAUUCUAUUGCAAACCCGAAGUCAAUCGCUUGUAUGCAUCUGUUAUUUUGCACGCAAGGCGCAGUGCAGAAGAAUCACCCGAUACGGAUAACAGCCCAAGACUCAUUGAAUUCGAGGGAUACUUUGUAACCUUGAGGGAGCUCGCGGAGUCCAUGAAGUGUGGUGGUUUCGUCGUUUCGCAUGUUUUCCAAGUUGGGUUACAAAGUAUAAUUUACAACUUGCCAGUAGAUUCAAAGAAGGUUAUCAUGCCAGUUAAAUUCUCGGUCAGGUUACAACAGAUGAUAUGGAAUACAAAAGAGAUUACUGCCAGGUUUAACAAGUCGAAUCACUUGGAUCGAAAAUACAUGAUUAUGUUUCCUAUCCUAGAGAACAUUGACCCAGAAAAACCAGUAUCGGGGAAUCAUUACCGGGUGUUCAAUUUGAACAUAAGGGACAAGAGGUUUGAAGUCCUUGAUUCCUGGAGGACACUAGAUAAUCCUGUCUUGGACAAGAACGCUAGGUUGAUAGCAGCAACUGUUCGUAGUUUAUGGGAGCAUCAUUAUGGACACUCACGUGUUGUGCUGGAUAAGUUUCCGCUAGUCAACAUCGAUGUCCCGAGGCAGAACAAUGAGUAA
rnacentral:rRNA from 1 species